rnacentral:rRNA from 1 species
AUACGGAGGGUGCAAGCGUUAUCCGGAAUUAUUGGGUUUAAAGGGUCCGUAGGCGGCUAGAUACGUCAGUGGUGAAAUUCUCUCGCUCAACGAGAGACCUGCCAUUGAUACUGUCUUGGCUAGAGUUACAGUGAGGUGAGUGGAAUGUGUAGUGUAGCGGUGAAAUGCAUAGAUAUUACACAGAACACCGAUUGCGAAGGCAGCUCACUAACUGUAUACUGACGCUGAUGGACGAAAGCGUGGGGAGCAAACAGGAUUAGAAACCCUAGUAGUCCC